rnacentral:rRNA from 1 species
GACCCCUGGCGGCAGGCCUAACACAUGCCAGUCGAGCGGAUGAAGGAGCUUGCUCCUGGAUUCAGCGGCGGACGGGUGAGUAAUGCCUAGGAAUCUGCCUGGUAGUGGGGGAUAACGUCCGGAAACGGGCGCCUAAUACCGCAUACGUCCUGAGGGAGAAAGUGGGGGAUCUUCGGACCUCACGCUAUCAGAUGAGCCUAGGUCGGAUUAGCUAGUUGGUGGGGUAAAGGCCUACCAAGGCGACGAUCCGUAACUGGUCUGAGAGGAUGAUCAGUCACACUGGAACUGAGACACGGUCCAGACUCCUACGGGAGGCAGCAGUGGGGAAUAUUGGACAAUGGGCGAAAGCCUGAUCCAGCCAUGCCGCGUGUGUGAAGAAGGUCUUCGGAUUGUAAAGCACUUUAAGUUGGGAAGGAAGGGCAGUAAGUUAAUACCUUGCUGUUUUGACGUUACCAACAUAAUAUCCCCGGCUACUUCUUCCACUUCCGUGUAUACUAAGGUCUUCGUAAUCGAAUCUGGCUAAG